UUCCCUCAACUUUCCUAUUUCCCCCAUUCCAUAGCUUUCCAAACUUAAUUACAGAUGCAAAAGAAUUCAUCACUGAGAAUCAUCCCUACCAGCACAACCUUAAUCACAUUGCUGUUAUUAAACAUAAGGAGAUUAAUGUUCAAGUUUGGCUCGAAAAAUUGGCCUGGUGACAGCGCAAAUAAUAUAUUUCUGUGAACAAGAAGCUGCUGGAAACUUGUUGCAGCUACACAAAUCUGCACAGCAAUUUGCUGGAAUUCCACUGCUGACCUUUAACUCCCAUCCUUAUUAGUAGGCCCAGCUGUUUUGAUAUACAUCUACUGGCAUUCUUACUGAGGAUAGUGGGAGUUUAAAUUCAGAACUAAUCCUUGCACUAAAAUAUAAGACAUGUUGUCUUUCUGAUAUAUCAGGGCAAGUGCUUACAUAGGAAAUUGUUUUGGUUGAAGGAGAAGCAAAAAAAAAAAAAAAGAAAGAAAGAAAGUUGUGCAAACAAAAGAAAAGCAGUUGAAACAGGCAGCAGUCAACUUUCUAACUCUGCCUGAGGAACAAAGGAUUCCGCCUAGAAACAGCAGCAGCCAAUAGGAGGUCAGCCAGUCAGGCACAACCAGAAGUAGCCUCCUGUUCUGUGGAAGCACACGGGCAGCACAUCUGGGUAACAUCAGGAACACAUUAUACCCAAGCACCUGGCGAUAAGUUCAUGGAUGCAGGGUCAACAGUGUCAGAUUGUCUGCUGGUACUGGCAGGUGGAAAAUUGCGUUUGCUUCAAGUGCAGCAGACUAUCCUACACUUUCCGCUGUCUCCCGUCAGUUUACUUAGAAGAACAGACUUAAAAGACCAGCUUUUGCAGAAGUACUUGCAGAAGAAACUGCAAAGGUUUUUACAUUAACCAGAUGGGAAUACAUGUUCCAAUAAGCUGUAAAAUAUACCGUUUAAAGUGCAGCAUUUACUGUUUUGUAUACACAUUUAUUAGAUGCUAAUAUGGUUAACGUGGAAUUAUGCUGCCCUACUUAAUAGAAAAUCUCCAACUUCAGUCACAGAUUUUACCACAGACUACAGUAAAGUUGCCCUAUGUUUUCUAUAAUUUAAUCUGUGUGUUUAUGUAUUAAUUUGCAUCACAGAUAUUACAGCAUAAAAUUCCUAGUACCCCAGACUUAGAGGGAUCUCUUUGUAAGAAAAGACAUUGGAACAAGAAGAAACAUCAUUGCACUAUAAAAUAAUUGUGAAAUAUUAUUUCUUUGUGCUGUCUAGUUAACCACAUUUUAGUAGAUGAUGAUAAUAGUAAGCCAUGGAUCCCUGAGCAAUAUCUUUUUAGGCCCCUAUAAAUUGUUUUGAGGGAUAGAAAUAUAAAAUCUAGUGGCCCUUCUACACUGUUCCGUCUCUGCAGUACUUAGAGGGUUUCAUAACCCUUUAGUUAAACCUAUGGUCCUCCAUGCUAUCCAGCAUUCUUACAUGAAAAAAUAGCACAUUAUGCCCACAUCCAUAAUUUGUUCCGGCCAUGAAUGAUCUAUCCAUAACCCUACCCAACUCACUUUUGCUAUCUCUGCUGUCCUGAACUACAGCUAUACAGCUAUAACCAAGCUUAUGGCACAACUAUCACAUCAAACAGGCACGUGGAGGCCACACACACACUACUGAGCCUCAUUUUGACUUUUUUAAGGA